AUUAAAACAUUAGGUUUGUGGACAAAAGUUGACCCCAUGCUGCCUGAGAUGGAGAGAGAGAGCAGGUUGGCAGAGGAAUCACCAGCUCAAGGAACCCCAAGACUUGGACAGUCUUCCAGCAGAAGAGGCCAGGGUCUCUCAGUGUACUACCCCAAACAGGCCUCUCCCAGAGAUGUAGUCUGGAAAGGCCCAAAACCCACCAGGUACAGGCAUAUCCAGUGGGGAAAGACUUCCCAUUCCAGAAGUCCACCUCUGCUUCCUAGUCUUCUGCUGACCUCAGAGCAGCAGGGUGGCCAUUGCUAAAUUGCUAAUCUGGGUUAGGGAGAUGCCAGAAACACACCCAAGUUUGAACCACAGGUUAAUGGUACAAAGUCAUAUAGUCCUUGUGCCUUCAGAAAACCCAGGGGCCCCAAAUCCAAGUGGGAAGAGAGUUGGGAAAAACUGAACCAGAUUCUUCCAAUGGCCAUUAAAGAGAAAAUUCAGCAACCCUUGCCUUUGUCUUUGACCCUGAGAAGUUAAGGGACACAGAUUGUGGUGCUGUGAUGGGACAUGGAAAGUAUGGUGUGCUUCCUGUAGAGAUGCCUUUGGAGUCCCUGUGGCCAGGGGACCUCACUGGCCCCCUCCUCAGGCACCUUGAUGGGGCUCAGUGGGGCCAGGCCGAAGGGAGGAAGUAGAAAAGUAUCAUCAGGCUCUCCAGAUCAACGGGCACCAUCCAAGGCCCUGCUGCACCCAAACAUGGAGGCCUCCACCACCAGCUCAGCCCCAGGGGUUCUUUCACACAUAAGCUCCUUCCCUAAGGAGUCCUGUAGAGUUCGACAGUGUACUACCCAAGUCAGAGAUUCACCACAGAUCUGUCUCCUCCUCAACCUGGACUCAAGUUACUAAGGUGAGAAACUUCACUGUCCAUGGUUAACUGAAGAAAUCCUCCUUCAGAGAGAACGUGAGGGGUAGAUGAGGUGGUUAGACAGGGAGGAUCUUUUUCCCCAAGCUGUUUGGACAACACCACGGCCAGGACCAACUCUGACAGCUGCAAGAGAGCCCCUCCAAUGUGGAACCUCCUACACAUAGCCUUGCUUUUGGGUCCCUGGAUCUCAGCCCACAGCAGGGCCACUCUUGGGGGAACUCUCCCUCCCAUCCCUCAGAUCCCCACAUUGUUCUUCCUCUAGGAGAAAAGUGUCGGCCCUGCCCCUGGAUCUUCUCCAAGAUGGCACUGGACUCGCCACUAUCUUGAGGGGCCAGGAGCUGAAGUGGCUCAGGCUUAGCAAUCCACUGUGGCCAAAGUGGAAAGGUUCUUUGCAGUCACCAAAAAAAA